UUCCGUUCUCCGUGACUGCUGAGCUGACUACUGGAACAGGAGGCGGACAAGGUUUGGCAACUGGAGUUCUGAAUCUCGCCAUCGUCGCUCCUCAGAUAGUAGUCUCACUCGGAGCAGGCCCAUGGGACAAGCUCUUGGGGGAGGGAACGUCCCCGCCUUCGCCCUGGCUUCGGUCUUCUCGCUGGCAGCCGGAGUGCUCGUGGUGAUCAAGCUGCCC